AUUGAACGCUGGCGGCAGGCCUAACACAUGCAAGUCGAACGAGUGGCGGACGGGUGAGUAAUGUCUGGGAAACUGCCCGCUGGAGGGGGAUAACUACUGGAAACGGUAGCUAAUACCGCAUACCAUCUGAUGCGCCCAGAUGGGAUUGGCUAGUAGGUGGGGUAACGGCUCACCUAGGCGACGAUCCCUAGCUGGUCUGAGAGGAUGACGAGCAACACGGGAGCUGGGACAAGGUCCAGAAUCCUACGGGAGGCAGCAGUGGGGAAUAUUGCACAGUGAGCGCAAGCCUGAUGCAGCCAAGCCGCGUGUAUGAAGAGCGCCUUCGGGUUGUAAAGUACUUUCAGCGAGGAGGCGUUACUCGCAGAAGAAGCACCGGCUAACUCCGUGCCAGCAGCCGCGGUAAUAC
rnacentral:rRNA from 1 species